GUGUCCUUUGCGCACUUAAAGAGUGGCAUUAAUAGAGGCCAUCGUCGUCGUCGUCGUCCUCAUGCUUCCUUCCAUUUAUUUAUUUAAUCCCUUUUUUUCCUGUACGCCGCUUCAUUUUCCCUUAAUUCCGUCCCUUUCUGUUUCCUUCCUUCGCGGCAUUUUAUAAACGGGGGUGCCGGCCCGGCUAGAGAGAGGGAGACAGACAGAGAGCUCUGCGCAGCUCGACAAGGGUCGGGCAGGGAGGAGCAGGAGACGGGCGGCGGGAGGGGGGAGAAGAAGAAUUUCGAGAUUACCGUCACCUCACUCGACGCGUGAGCGUGUCACCUCAGAACUCCACCAUCAUCUAACCCCGCGCCGCCGCCGCCGCCACCACCUCAGGCUCAGCCUCCCCACCUUUCCUCCCUCCUUCCUUCCCCGCGGCCCCCGGUCCUUAUCACACACCAUCUCACCCGCGGAUUAAACCCCCGCCCCCCUUGCUUUCCGGGUCCGGGAACCGGCCUCCCUCCCGCCCCCAACCCAAGAGCCUGGCCGGUAAGUACCGCGGCACCUGGCCGAAUACCCCGCGAUCCCGGCCGCGGCCGCGGCCACGGAUGGCCCCGUGCGGCCACCACCAGUUCUACCUCUUGGGGUUGACCAGGUAGAGGCUCUAGAGGGGCCUCCUGCGGCUCCUGCUCCUGAAGGAGCAGAGGCCGCGGCCGCGGCGGGCGGCGGCGUUCCCGCCGGCGCCCUUCUUGCGGUUUGUCUAGUGGACCCACGACGAGGAGUUCCGCGUGGCGCGGCGGCCGACGGAGCGGAGCGACCGGAGGCGCCGGCAGUGGGAGCCGCGGCGGCGGUCCGCGGCGCACCGGCUGCCGGCGUGGCUACGGCUGCGGCCGCGGUGCGGGCCGAGCCGCCCGCUCUCGGGGCACGAGGCGAGGGCGAAGAUGCGGAAGUAAUCCCGGAAGGAGGAGGAGAGGGACGAGGAGGAGCGCCAGCUCGAGCGGCGCGCGAAGGUGCCGACCCUGGAGCGGCGGAGGCGGGACCGGGAGGGGUAAUAGCCGCAGCUCAGCGAGAUGCGGAGGACCGACGCGGAGGCGCGGCGGAUGGAGCGCGGCGACGAGGUCAAGGAGUGGCUGCGGACGCAGCACGAGAAGGAGUAGGUCUCGCGGCUGGCGGAGUAGGUCACGGAGCCGUCGAAGAUGUAGUGGCACUUCGCGUAGUUCGGGUCCGAGUUCAGGGGCCGCGACGGCCUGCGGCUCCUGGGGCUGCGGCCGAUGAUGGGGUACCACGAGCACGUCUAUGGUUACACGUUGCUCUUUCUCCACAUAGUCGUUAGUUAACGCCGGCAGACGUUGGAGCUAACCGGCUCCAGGUUGAAGAACCAAGUCCAAAAUCUACUGAGGCUGCUGGGCUGCUGCGUCAGCGAGUAGUCCCUCCUCCAGCGCUUCACCGUCGUCUGGCCCCGGGCCUAAGACAUGGCCGUGGCGCACGAGUCCCUGCCCAUGUUCCGGCCCUUGGAGUUCAGCCGGUACCGGACGUCGAUGCAGUUCCUAAUGCUUAAACAACGGUAGAAACUGCGACUGAAGGUUGGUUUGGGGCUGAAAAAUUUCGCGUGACACGGUGUAAAGUUCCUGUUACUACUUAACCCCGACCACGUUCGCUCUACCAGCAAACACUUGUUCCUACUCUUGAAUAACUGAGCCAACGUCUUGUAGUUAGAAACGAAGGUGAAACUCCACCUCGUCGUCCACUUACCACAGAAGAAUUUGAAGAAACCCAAGUUACCGUGCCGGCCGCACACCUCCUAGUUCCGCGACCUCCUCAGGCCGCCCACCUACCUCGCCUGUUGUCACCUCCUAUACCUGUAACGCCAAGCCCGCGUAGAGGUACCGACCUUCAAAUAGAAGGACUUGCUACAGCUCACGGUUACACUUGACGGUCUCAGUAUGCUCCGAAUGUCCUUCGUCGUUGUAGCCACCGUAAGGCCAGGUUACGUCGAUAAGUCCGAAACGUAUGGCCUGUAGUAGUUCAGGUUCCACAACAAUACGAGAAAAAGAACGUGGAUUCGUCUUACCUGAUGUUAAAUCUAUCACGAUAUUGGAUUGAUUCUACACCGUCCACUCUGCACGAGGUGAUUAUAAUUUUAACGACCGCUUUUGAGACUUUACAAUAAAGAAAACUUAACUCUUAACUCUCAUACAUUUGUGGGUUAAGUCGUACGCGAAGAGCGUAAAACACCGCCAGCGAAUCCAAUGUGAAACUUUUACGAAACAGUAGUAAACGGAAGUCGUGUGACGUUAAAAAAAAUCUUUUCCUCCUACUGGGGGCCGGAGACGUAGACCCGCUACGUAUGCCGGUGAAGUCGUGUGACGUUAUGUUCAUGAGGGAGACAUUGAAUUACAUUCUGUAAAAACGUCAAGUUUAAUUUGACGUUUUUGCAGAAUAUAAUUCAAUGUCUCCGUUAUAUAUUGUGGCACGGCAUGAACGAUAAUCUUAAACAAAAUCUUACGUCUUUAAAUUUAAGCACUGGCUGACACAAAUUUUGCGUUGACAAUAUUAAACAUAUUCCUACGUCCUCAAAUUUUCCAUUGACAAAAAUGUAAGAAAUAGACAAUAGUACUUUUAAUACAUGGAGAGAGAUUAUAUCAUCAUAGUUAAAUCAACACAUAAUUGAGACGAAACAAAAUGACGUCUAAAGCCACACCUUCUUUAAGUUGGACUAGAAGGAGAAGAAGGAUGAGGCCUUCGAGUAUGAUGGGAAGAUGAGGAAGUGCGAGAAGACGUAGUAGGAGGGCUACUGGUACAAACACGGGCUUCGGCUCGAGGGCCUGACCCAGCAUACGAUGUAGGGACGGGAAUACAGGGACGAGUUGUAGGACGGCAGGGGCUUCAGCAAGGGAAAGUAGUAGGGUAUGGACGAGAAGCUCUUGUGGUACAGCCACUGGUUCAAGUUGCGGUACUAGAGCCCGGACAAGGUCGAGCCGUCGCGGAUGCUCACCCAACACUGGUUCUUCAGCCCCGCCAGCAGCCUCCCGCUGGAGUAGAGGGACCGCCGCCGCGGCGGGUCCCUCGACGCCGUGGUGGGCUUCUGGCCCAGCCGCGGCUCGUACCUCCGCGACUACCACGAGUUCCUCGUCGGCUCGGGCUUCUUCCUUCCCUUCUUCGUCGUCUUCUUCGUGUUGGCCUAUAUGUUCUUCCUCGACCGCGACAGCGACGAGGACGACUGCCGGCGGCGAGCGUCGGACGACUGCUUCGUCCCAUAUGUGAAGAUGAAGGACGACAAGGUCCCGUAGAGGAAGAACAAUCAUCCGGAACUGGAGUAUCCGCUCGUCCAGCUUACUUUUUUCUUUUUACAUUUGUACCUGUGCUAUCUAAAAUUUUCCGUCACCAACCGUGGUUCCCUCACACUACAGGGCACUACCACAAGCUUCGAGAGCCGGCCCCAAGGUUUCCCAAAUACCCCAAUUGGCGCCGCCGCGGCCUAGCCGGUACCGCGGCCGGCGCUCGUACCAGCCUUACCUACUCUAGCUCUCUCUCUCCCCCAAGACCAGGAGCAUUCUUACACAUCUAUAUCGGAACGCCUAGACGACUCGAGGAACGUUCGUCCGUAGAGGCAAGGUAAGAAAACAUCGCUCUUUAAAAACUACAACAGACACCCCUAGUACAGGGUCCUAGCCAGUGCCAACUAGCGACUGCUUUUUGGUCUUCCACCGUCUAACCCUCGGCAGGCAUUUUUGAGUAUACCAGGAUGGACGUCACACCGUCUAGGAACAAUGGUCCACCACGUACCAACUAGACCAGUUACACAAACCCAACCGUGGCCGUUUCCACUCUGGCGGGACCUCCCGCAGUGUACUACCCACCGAAAAGCACAC
rnacentral:rRNA from 1 species